rnacentral:rRNA from 1 species
AGAGUUUGAUCAUGGCUCAGAUUGAACGCUGGCGGCAUGCUUUACACAUGCAAGUCGAGCGGCAGGCGCGGGGGCAACCCUGGCGGCGAGCGGCGGACGGGUGAGUAAUGCAUCGGAACGUAUCCCGUAGUGGGGGACAACCCAGCGAAAGCUGGGCUAAUACCGCAUAUGCUCUACGGAGGAAAGUGGGGGACCCGCAAGGGCCUCACGCUAUGGGAGCGGCCGAUGUCCGAUUAGCUAGUUGGUGGGGUAAAGGCCCACCAAGGCGACGAUCGGUAGCUGGUCUGAGAGGAUGAUCAGCCACACUGGGACUGAGACACGGCCCAGACUCCUACGGGAGGCAGCAGUGGGAAUUUGGACAAUGGGGGCAACCCUGAUCCAGCCAUGCCGCGUGCGGGAAGAAGGCCUUCGGGUUGUAAACCGCUUUUGGUCGGGAAGAAAAGGCGUCUCCUAAUACGGGGCGUUCUUGACGGUACCGGCAGAAUAAGCACCGGCUAACUACGUG